rnacentral:rRNA from 1 species
UGGCGGCAGGCCUAACACAUGCAAGUCGAGCGGUAACAUUUCUAGCUUGCUAGAAGAUGACGAGCGGCGGACGGGUGAGUAACGCGUAGAAAUCUACCUAGUAGUGGGGGAUAGCCCAGAGAAAUUUGGAUUAAUACCGCAUACGCCCUACGGGGGAAAGCGGGGGAUCUUCGGACCUCGUGCUAUUAGAUGAGUCUGCGUCGGAUUAGCUUGUUGGUGAGGUAAUGGCUCACCAAGGCGACGAUCCGUAGCUGGUCUGAGAGGAUGACCAGCCACACUGGAACUGAGACACGGUCCAGACUCCUACGGGAGGCAGCAGUGGGGAAUAUUGCACAAUGGGCGCAAGCCUGAUGCAGCCAUGCCGCGUGUGUGAAGAAGGCCUUAGGGUUGUAAAGCACUUUCAGCAGUGAGGAAAGGGGUGUAGUUAAUAGCGCCAUCCUGUGACGUUAACUGCAGAAGAAGGACCGGCUAACUCCGUG